rnacentral:rRNA from 1 species
ACGAGCGCUGGCGGCGCGCCUAACACAUGCAAGUCGAACGGAGCUGAGAGAAGCUUGCUUUUCUUAGCUUAGUGGCGAACGGGUGAGUAACGCGUGAGUAACCUGCCCUGGAGUGGGGGACAACAGUUGGAAACGACUGCUAAUACCGCAUAAGCCCACGAUCCGGCAUCGGAUUGAGGGAAAAGGAUUUAUUCGCUUCAGGAUGGACUCGCGUCCAAUUAGCUAGUUGGUGAGGUAACGGCCCACCAAGGCGACGAUUGGUAGCCGGACUGAGAGGUUGAACGGCCACAUUGGGACUGAGACACGGCCCAGACUCCUACGGGAGGCAGCAGUGGGGGAUAUUGCACAAUGGGGGAAACCCUGAUGCAGCGACGCCGCGUGGAGGAAGAAGGUUUUCGGAUUGUAAACUCCUGUCGUUAGGGACGAUAAUGACGGUACCUAACAAGAAAGCACCGGCUAACUACGAG